rnacentral:rRNA from 1 species
UACGGGGGGGGGCAAGCGUUUGUUCGGAAUUACUGGGCGUAAAGGGCGUGUAGGUGGCCAACUAAGUCCGACGUGAAAUCCCCAGGCUUAACCUGGGAACUGCGUCGGAUACUGGAUGGCUUGAAUUCGGGAGAGGGAUGCAGAAUUCCAGGUGUAGCGGUGAAAUGCGUAGAUAUCUGGAGGAAUACCGGUGGCGAAGGCGGCAUCCUGGACCGACAUUGACGCUGAUGAGCGAAAGCUAGGGGAGCAAACGGG